GACGAACGCUGGCGGCGUGCUUAACACAUGCAAGUCGAACGGAAAGGCCCUGCUUUUGUGGGGUGCUCGAGUGGCGAACGGGUGAGUAGCACGUGAGUAACCUGCCCUUGACUUUGGGAUAACUUCAGGAAACUGGGGCUAAUACCGGAUAGGAGCUCCUGCUGCAUGAUGGGGGUUGGAAAGUUUCGGCGGUUGGGGAUGGACUCGCGGCUUAUCAGCUUGUUGGUGGGGUAGUGGCUUACCAAGGCUUUGACGGGUAGCCGGCCUGAGAGGGUGACCGGCCACAUUGGGACUGAGAUACGGCCCAGACUCCUACGGGAGGCAACAGUGGGGAAUAUUGCACAAUGGGCGGAAGCCUGAUGCAGCAACGCCGCGUGCGGGAUGACGGCCUUCGGGUUGUAAACCGCUUUCGCCUGUGACGAAGCGUGAGUGACGGUAAUGGGUAAAGAAGCACCGGCUAACUACGU
rnacentral:rRNA from 1 species